GACGAACGCUGGCGGCGUGCUUAACACAUUCAAGUCGAACGGAAAGGCCCUGCUCUUUUGGCUUGCUCGAGUGGCGCACGUGUGUGUAACACGUUAGUAACCUGCCCUUGACUUUGGGAUAACUUCAGGAAACUGGGGCUAAUACCGGAUAGGAGCUCCUGCUGCAUGGUGGGGGUUGGAAAGUUUCGGCGGUUGGGGAUGGACUCGCGGCUUAUCAGCUUGUUGGUGGGGUAGUGGCUUACCAAGGCUUUGACGGGUAGCCGGCCUGAGAGGGUGACCGGCCACAUUGGGACUGAGAAACGCCCCAGACUCAGACGGGAGCAAGCAGUCUGGAAUAUUGCACAAGGGGAGGAAGCCUGAAGCAGCAACGCCGCAUGCGGGAGGAAGGUCUUCGGAUUGUAAGCCGCUUACACCGGUGACGAAGAGUGAGUGACGGUAAAGAGUAAAGAAGCAACGGCUAACUACAUG
rnacentral:rRNA from 1 species